CGCGGGGUGGAGCAGUGGCAGCUCGUCAGGCUCAUAACCUGAAGGUCAGAGGUUCGAAUCCUCUCCCCGCAACCA
rnacentral:tRNA from 1 species